rnacentral:rRNA from 1 species
AAAAACAUUUCUUUUAGAUUAGAUUAAAAGUAGGGCCUGCCCACUGUUUAAAUAAAGGGCCGCGGUAUUUUGACCGUGCAAAGGUAGCAUAAUCAUUAGUCUUUUAAUUGAGGAAUGGAAUGAAUGGCUUUAUAAAAUUUAUCUUUUUAAAAUAAAUAACUAGAACUUUGAUUUAAAGUGAAAAUACUUUAUUGUUUUAAAAAGACGAUAAGACCCUAUAGAAUUUUAUUUUAAGGGUGAUUAUACUUUUAAAGUUUUAUUGGGGCAGUAGAAGAAUAACUUAAAUUUCUUUAAAAAUUAAUUUUAAUGAAAAUGUUUAACUUAAAAUUAGAAAUAUUAAAAAAAUUACCUUAGGGAUAACAGCGUUAUUAUUUUUGAGAGUUCAUAUCGACAAAUUAUUUUGCGACCUCGAUGUUGAAUUAAAAUACCUUAUGGGUGCAGAAUUUUAUUUAGGUAGUCUGUUCGACUAUAAAAUUUUUACAUGAUUUGAGUUCCAGACCGGA